UACAACUUUCAGCGGUGGAUGUCUAGGUUCCCACAACGAUGAAGAACGCACGAGCGAUACGUAAUGCGAAUUGCAAGACCUCGUGAAUCAUUAAGAUUUUGAACGCACAUUGCGCUUUCGGGAUUUUCCCGGUAGCAUGCUUGUCUGAGUGUCUGUG
rnacentral:rRNA from 1 species